UAAUGCAUCGGAACAUGCCCAGUCGUGGGGGAUAACACUUCGAAAGAAGUGCUAAUACCGCAUACGUCCUGAGGGGGAAAGCGGGGGAUCGCAAGACCUCGCGCGAUUGGAGUGGCCGAUGUCAGAUUAGCUAGUUGGUGGGGUAAAGGCCUACCAAGGCGACGAUCUGUAGCUGGUCUGAGAGGAUGAUCAGCCACACUGGGACUGAGACACGGCCCAG
rnacentral:rRNA from 1 species